AGCAGCCGCGGUAAUUCCAGCUCCAAUAGCGUAUAUUAAAGUUGUUGCAGUUAAAAAAGCUCGUAAUUGAAUUUCGGGGUUAGUAGGUUGGUCAUGCCUCUGGUAUGUACUGGUCUCACUGAUUCCUCCUUCCUGAUGAGCCGUAAUGCCAUUAAUUUGGUGUUGCAGGGAAUCAGGACUGUUACUUUAGAAAAAUUAGAGUGUUUAAAGCAGGCAUACGCUUGAAUACAUUAGCAUGGAAUAAUGAAAUAGGACGUUUGAUCCUAUUUUGUUGGUUUCUAGGAUUGACGUAAUGAUUAAUAGGGAUAGUUGGGGGCAUUAGUAUUCAAUUGUCAGAGGUGAAAUUCUUGGAUUUAUUGAAGACUAACUACUGCGAAAGCAUUUGCCAAGGAUGUUUUCAUUAAUCAAGAACGAAAGUUAGGGGAUCGAAGACGAUCAGAUACCGUCGUAGUCUUAACCAUAAACUAUGCCGACUAGGGAUCGGAUGAUGUUAUUUUAUGA
rnacentral:rRNA from 1 species